CUAGCACCUGGGAAGGGCAGGCGGCGUGUGCACCUGCCGGGGGUGGGCUGUCGAGCCUUACUUUCCUCGCGAUACAGCUGCGCUCCAGCCAGCGUGCUGGGUUUGGGGUUUUGCUAUGCUAAUACCUGGGAAUCGAGCAGGUUUCAGCCUUUCUGGAGCCGUAGAAACACCUAGAGCUGUCUUAGACUUGCGCUGUGGAAUUAGAGACUUGCCAGAUGCAGCGUGCAGGUACUAGCUUUUUAAGAAGAAGAAAAUAUAUUUUCUCCUACUUUAAGGAUCUAGUGAUCUCACAGAAGAAACCAUUUCUAAAGAGGCCUGAAACAUGCUGUGGUUCUCUGAAGAAUUCUGAUAAAAACCAGAAAGGGUUGCUUGAGAGACAUAUCUCAAAGAAGAGGUGGAACAGAGAUUAGAGCAAGGGGACGUACUUGCACGUUUGUAAUGUUUGCCCUGCAGUCUCCUACAAAUACAUAGGAAAUUCAGCUCAUGAAAGCUACAUUCCUGUCACCUUUCGUCGGUUCUAAAGCACCUGUUUUUAAACUGACAUUAAUGUCUAUAUGCAAGUUAUUUUCAAAUAUAUAAACUGACCCAUUAAAUAUUUUGCGUGAAAUGACACACAAAGAACAGCGUGAACUUGGCAGCCAUGGAGUCCUUGGCAGCCUUUUUAGAUUUGAGUUUCCAUAUUCUAGCUGCCUUUGAACUCUAGACUACUGAUGAAUACCUUCUGAAGUAGCCCAGUAGCUUAAGCAAUGUCUUUCCAGGAGCUCCUCUUUCUGAUUUACAGUCCCCACUUCAAGAACAUCUUAUCAAUAACAAGAACGGACAAAGACUUUCAAAAUGUUUGAUAAGAUAAAUCGUUCUUUACUUUAGACAGCAAAAGAGAUAUUCAGAUAUAAGUAAAACAAUAAAUACUCAUAUUGCCAUCCUUCA
rnacentral:lncRNA from 1 species